AGAACGAACGCUGGCGGCAUGCCUAAUACAUGCAAGUCGAACGAACUCUUCGGAGUUAGUGGCGCACGGGUGCGUAACGCGUGGGAAUCUGCCCCUUGGUUCGGAAUAACAGUUGGAAACGACUGCUAAUACCGGAUGAUGACGAAAGUCCAAAGAUUUAUCGCCAAGGGAUGAGCCCGCGUAGGAUUAGCUAGUUGGUGAGGUAAGGCUCACCAAGGCAACGAUCCUUGGCUGGUCUGAGAGGAUGAUCAGCCACACUGGACUGAAGACACGGCCCAGACUCCGUACGGGAGGCAGCAGGUAGGAAUAGUUAGGACAAGUGGGACGAAAGCCUAGACUCC
rnacentral:rRNA from 1 species